rnacentral:lncRNA from 1 species
CAGGAGUGGAAGCAGGUUGGGGGGAUCGUUGAGCUGGUUGAGCAAGGAAGGCUUGGAGCAGGAGGAGGAAUUUGAAUCAGGUUUCGAAGUACGUGGCAAGGGCCAAAUUAAGCUGACACUGAGGAUGGCCGCCCUGGGACCCUGCAACCAGGAGAGCUCUGUCAGCUCUGCCCGGGGUUGAAGGCACAUACGGCCUGGGCAAGGGCCCCUUGAGAGACCCUGGCCUCAAGGAAGCUCCCACCAUGAGCUGACAGAGAGUUCUCAGAAUAACAAGUUAGGAAAGAAGAUAUAGGAGCAGACCGGAGACGGGAAAGCGAGAUGGAGCUUCUUUCUUACUGGGCUUCAGUUCACAGGGCUUCUCAGGAUGGGAAAGAAAAAAGACGACCUAAUCAGGAAGGACCAGGAGGAGCUCAGCCCUCCACCACCACUCCCAGCACCACACAGAGGACUGGGAGCCUCCCUCGACACUGGAAACGACACAGGGAGCCAUCCAGACUUGAGGUUGGGACUGGAUCCCCAUGAAAUUCUGUCCCAGUUCGAGAGAAG